rnacentral:rRNA from 1 species
AUUGAACGCUAGCGGGAUGCUUUACACAUGCAAGUCGAACGGAGUGGCGGACGGGUGAGUAAUAUAUCGGAACGUGCCCAGUAGCGGGGGAUAACUACUCGAAAGAGUGGCUAAUCCCGCAUACUAUUGGAGCGGCCGAUAUCGGAUUAGCUAGUUGGUGGGGUAAAGGCUCACCAAGGCAACGAUCCGUAGCUGGUUUGAGAGGACGACCAGCCACCCUGGGACUGAGACGCUCCACUGAUUCCUACGCGAUGCACUAGUGGGGAAUUGUGGAUAAAGGGGCAAGCCCUGAUCCAGCCCUCCCGCUUGUAUGAUUAAGGCCUUCGGGUUGGAAUGUACUUUUGGCAGGGAAGCGGUUUCUGCAGUAUAAGCACCAGCUAACUGCGUGACAGCAGCCGCGGUAAUUC